rnacentral:misc_RNA from 1 species
GAGCUAGGUCCUAAUUANCUUGGGGGCAUGUGCACACCUUUCUCUUUCAUCCCAUACACACCUGUGCACCUGUGAGACAGAUGUUUUCUAGGGGGGAAAGAAACUUAAUUGGACCUACUCUCUUGGACCUUCUGUAUACUUAAUAUAUAUAUACUGCAUUUAUUUUAAAAUGAGUGAAGUGGAUGUAACACUUCUAAUACUAAUUUUAAACAACGUAUCUCUUGUCUCUCGCAUCUAUAAAAAACCCAGAGAAAUGCGAUAAGUAAUGUGAAUUGCAAAAUUCAGUGAAUCCUCAAAUCUUUGAACGCCCCUUGCGCUCCUUGCUAUUCUUUGGAGCAUGUCUGUUUGAAUAUUGUGAUCUUCUCAGAGUCAAAACUUUUGAUAUCUCUUGUGGUUCUUUUUUGGUAUUGGAGGUCUAUUGCCUCUUCACCCCUGCUCCUCUUUGUGCAUUAUCUGAAUCUCAGUGUUAUGCUUGNCCCCUCUCAGCGAGAUAAGUUAUCUAUCCCUGAAGACACCCUGUUAAAAAGGGGUGCCCAGGGAAUUUGCAGAUGAACCGCUUCUAACAGCCCAUUGACUUGGACAAAUAUUAUUUUUAUGAUCUGCUCUCAAAUCAGGUAAGACUACCCGGUGAUCUUAAGCAUAUCUAUAAGCGGAAGA